GAUGAAGGACGUAGCGAAAUGCGAUAAGUAAUGUGAAUUGCAGAAUUCCGUGAAUCAUCGAAUCUUUGAACGCACAUUGCGCCCUCUGGUAUUCCGGGGGGCAUGCCUGUCCGAGCGUCAUUUGCAACCCUCAAGCCCGGCUUGUGUGAUGGGUGCCGUCCCCUACGGGACGCGCCCCGAAGGCAAUGGCGGCGUCGCGGUUAUCCGAUCAGCCAAAGUGUAUGGGGCUUUGUCACUCACUUUACGGCCCGGACCGGCGCCAGUCCGAAUCAAUCUUUUUUCUAAAGUUGACCUCGGAUCAGGUAGGGAUACCCGCUGAACUUAAGCAUAUCAAUAAGCGGAGGA
rnacentral:misc_RNA from 1 species